UCCGAACACCUCCUACAUGCCCUACUCC
rnacentral:sRNA from 1 species